rfam:Papio anubis isolate 1X1155 chromosome 3, whole genome shotgun sequence.
GCCGGGUGUGGUGGCUCACGCCUGUAAUCCCAACACUUUGGGAGGCUGAGGCAGGUGGAUUGCCUGAGGUCAGGAGUUUGCAACCAGCCUGACCAACAUGGUGAAACCCUGUCUCUA